rfam:Dictyocaulus viviparus strain HannoverDv2000 D_viviparus-1.0_Cont4.60, whole genome shotgun sequence.
CUUUCAAUUUUAUCUGUGUUGUUAC